rnacentral:lncRNA from 1 species
GACUUCACUCUCAUAUUUGAAAAGCUGAAAUUCAGCAACUUGAGCCCUUUUAAAACUGAUUUUAAAAUAAGUAUCAAUAGGCUCAUACUCUAUAUUUUGUAAUCAUCAAAAAGGGGGAGAUUGAGGAUGAUAGUAUUAUUUUGAUGAUUAACAAGCUAUAAUCAAGAGUAUGUUACAAGUUAAUUCGAUACUUCAUUUAUAAGUCUGUUACUCUCAGUAUAUUUGUAUAAUAAGAUAAAGAUGCAUUUCAUUGUUUAUAUGAAUGAAUCUAACCUUGAGUUGCAGCAAAGUGUGGAUUGAGUCGACCCCAAGGUU